UACGAAGGGGGCUAGCGUUGUUCGGAUUUACUGGGCGUAAAGCGCACGUAGGCGGAUCGUUAAGUCGGGGGUGAAAUCCUGGAGCUCAACUCCAGAACCGCCUUCGAUACUGGCGAUCUUGAGUCCGGAAGAGGUGAGUGGAACUCCUAGUGUAGAGGUGGAAUUCGUAGAUAUUAGGAAGAACACCGGUGGCGAAGGCGGCAUCCUGGACCGGCAUUGACGCUGAGGCGCGAAAGCCAGGGGAGCAAACAGG
rnacentral:rRNA from 1 species